GCCCCCUUGCGGCUGAACCGGGAGCCUCGGCGUUGAAAGGCCGUAAGCAGCCCUUCCGCGGCUUCUUCCGAAGGUCUCUGGGCUGCUCCUCGGCUGGACGGCCGUUUCUUUCAGAGGCGUUUGAAGUCACAACGGUCGCCAAAGGUUGCAGCCCCCCCGCGGCCCCGCUUGGGACCCGGGGGCUUGGCCGUUGCUCCCCCUGCGGUCGUGGGAAAGUCAGAGGAGCCCGUCUCGAAAAACGCCCAACGGGACCCGAAAAUCCUCUCUGGAUUUCAGCCUCAGCCCCAGAGUGCCGGGAUUUGCCUCUGCUCUGGGCAGGAAUUCCCCUCGGCAGCCAGAGAAUAACAGAAAACCCUCUUAUCCAAAGAGGAUCCAAGGGACCGUCCACUCGCCAGGUCCUUGGCGGCUCCAUUUGGCAGAGCCGCCUUCAGUUGACCAAAACUCCCCUGCACGUCCCUGCUUCGAUCCAGUUUAUCAAGGAAGAGCCUGGUUCAUCAGAUGCCUUACUGGAGCCCAGGCACCUUAGCGCUCCCUGGAUCCACUAAACCAAACAAAACUGGGAAUCACCUCUUUCAUUUCUAAGCACUUGCAAACUCACUGCCCAAUCACUUUUUCUAGCAGUUCUCCAGGUAUCCUAAAUAACCACCAACCUUUGGCCCUCUUAAUUGCAUAACUGAAGUGCGAGCAGAUUUCAGUUGCCAAAGCAGUGUGGCUGUUUGGAGCCUAAGUGUGCUGUCCCACUCAUGCACACACACAACACCAUGGUGUAAGGAGUUUUCAUUAAGGCUUCUGAGCCUAAACUGGUCUUCCCCAGCAAUUCCCUGUGCCAGCACCUGCUCAUCCCAAAAAAUUCCACAGGCUGCUCAGAUGAAGCCAACACUGGUCCUCCAAGCAAAGGCCAGUUCCAAGACAAAGGCAGAUCCAAAGGCAAGGCAGCCGUUGAAGAGACACAAUCCAGAGUUCAAGAACCCACCAACCACUUCAGUCCGAGUGACCAAGCAGCCCAUAGGAGUCCCUGCAGAGGUAAGCAAGCCCUCUGAGGGAGGCCCCGACAGUAAAGUGACCAACUUUUUUGCAAUGAGAAGGAGGACACAAAUAAAUUGAAGAAAAAAAUAUUGUAAAUAAAAGAUUCUGUAUUAUUGUUGCAAUGAAUAAAAUAUUUAACUAUAAUAUGAUAAAUGCAUAAUAAAAAACAUUUGUAACAAUAACAUUUUAUAUUGUAAUUAUGCUUACAUGCCUAUUAAUUAUUAUUUAACUGAGUACUUUUCCAUUGAAUGAAUAUUUUUGUCAAUGUACUAUCUUCUAACAAUAUAUUGGAAAUGUCUGAACAAGAAAUAUCCUUCAUAUUGAAUUUUACGGCAAGUGCUGCAGCUAGAGUAUCAACAUUUAAUCUCGAUUUCUCACUUUUCCAAAAAUCAUUAGCAAUUGAAAAAACCCUUUCAACUGCUGCAUUAAUUCCAGGGCAGCACAACAUAAAUUGAACAAGAAUAAAUAAAUUUUCACAUGGAAUAUGUUCAUUUUUGAAAUGGCUGAAUAUUUCCACGCAUCUUUUAUCAAUUUCAACGUGUUUAUUUUCUCAUUGUAUUAAUUUUUCAGAAUUUAAAAAUACAUUCAGUCUUCUAAUUUAUUCAAA